GUUUCUUUUCAAUAAAUUUUUAAAAUAAUAGUUUCCUAUUUAUAACCCUUCUAUAGUUUGAAUGUAUCCCCCAGUAAGAAUAGUUUGAAAGCUUAAUCCCCAAUAUAACAGCGUUAGGAGGUGGGGCCAUGAGGUGAUUAGUCCAUGAGGGCUCCAUUCUCACUAAUAGAUUAAUGCCUUUAUGGGGGAGUGGAUUCGUGGUAAAAGCGAGAGUUUGGUCCCUCUUUCCCCACCUCCCUCUUUCCUUCUCUUUCAUUUCUUCCUUCUGCCACAGGAUAAUGCAGUUUAAAGGGCUUCACCACAUGCUGUCGCCUUGAUCUUGGACUUCCCAGCCUCCAGAAACAGAAGUUGAAUUCUUACCAGUUCCACAAGAAGAAGGUAUUCAAAUAAGAGAACUGUAGUCUGCAAAACCAACAAUAAAUAUCUGAAAUCAAGGAACUCGCACUCUGGUAAAUACUUUGUUGUUGUUGUUGUUGUUGUUGUUUUGAUUUUUGAGAUGGAGUCUCCCUCUGUCGCCCAGGCUGGAGUGCAGUGAAGCGGGCUCAGCUCACUGAAAGCUCUGCCUCCGGGGUUCACACUGUUCUCCUGGCUCAGCCUCCCGAGUAGCUGGGACUACAGGCGCCCGCCACCACACUCGGCUAAUUUUUUUGUAUUUUUUUUAGUGGACACGGGGUUUCACCGUGUUAGCCAGGAUGGUCUUGAUCUCCUGACUUUGUGAUCCACCCGCCUCGGCCCCCCAAAGUGCUGGGAUUACAGGCGUGAGCCACCGCGCCCGGCCGUAAAUACGUAUUUUUAACAGUAAAUUAGAAGGCAUGUCAGAGGUGUGAUGGGGAAAAUUUGAUGUCAAUAAAAGCAUAUGAAGUUUAUCGCCAACAGGGUUGACAUUUAAAUGUAAUUAGCAUGGGACACCUUAUUGAGAAGUGACAUUUGGGACAAGCAAUUGAGGUUUAAAGACAUUCCAGGAAACGGGAACAGCCAGUGUAAAGACCCUGAGAAAGAAACGUGUGCUUUCCAGGCGCAGCAAGGAAGCCAGUGAAGCCAGAACAAAAUGAACAAGGGGAAGAAUAUUAGCAUAUGAGGCCAGCAGCGUAGCAAAGUUCAGAUCGUGUAGACUGUUCAUCUGAGUCUACUUUGUGUUGCUAUGAAUGAAUACCUGAGGCUGGGUAAUUUACAAAGAAAAAAGAUUUGCUUUAGCUCAUGGAUCUACAGACUAUAAAAGAAGCAUAGUGCCAGCGUUUACUUCUGGUGAAGACUUCAAGAAGCUUUCCACCACAGCAGAAAGCAAGUGUGGAACAGGCAUGUCACACUGUGAGAGAGGGAGCAAGAGAGAGGUGGUACGGGAGCUGCCACGCUCUUUUUAACAACCAGUUCUUACAGGAAUUAAUAGAGUGAGAACUCGCCCAUGACUUCAAAGAUGGCACCAAGUCAUGCAUGAGAUAUCUGCCUCCAUGACCCAAACACCUCCCAUUAGACCCUGCCCCCAACCGAGAGGAUUACAUUUCAACAUGGGAUUUGGAGGGGCACACAUCCGAACUAUAUCACAGUCUGAAGAGCUCUUAUUAACAACAACAAACCAGAACAUUAUCCUUAAAGUGCCAAACAGAAAACUACUAUUCUAUAUCUAUCCAAUGUUGAGAAAUAAUUUUCUUUAAGACUCAAAUUGCUGCAUAUAUGCUUACUACCCUUUUAAGAAUGUGUAUAGAGAACAGUCUUGAAAAGAUAUAGUGUCUUUUUUU
rnacentral:lncRNA from 10 species